rnacentral:rRNA from 1 species
GACGAACGCUGGCGGCGUGCUUAACACAUGCAAGUCGAACGGAAAGGCCCUACUUUUGUGGGGUGCUCGAGUGGCGAACGGGUGAGUAACACGUGAGUAACCUGCCCUUGACUUUGGGAUAACUUCAGGAAACUGGGGCUAAUACCGGAUAGGAGCUCCUGCUGCAUGGUGGGGGUUGGAAAGUUUCGGCGGUUGGGGAUGGACUCGCGGCUUAUCAGCUUGUUGGUGGGGUAGUGGCUUACCAAGGCUUUGACGGGUAGCCGGCCUGAGAGGGUGACCGGCGACAUUGGGACUGCGAUACGGCCCAGACUCCUACGGGAGGCAGCAGUGGGGAAUAUUGCACAAUGGGCGGAAGCCUGAUGCAGCAACGCCGCGUGCGGGAUGACGGCCUUCGGGUUGUAAACCGCUUUCGCCUGUGACGAAGCGUGAGUGACGGUAAUGGGUAAAGAAGCACCGGCUAACUACGUG